rnacentral:rRNA from 1 species
GACGGGGCCGGCACAAGCGGUGGAGUAUGUGGUUUAAUUCGAUGCAACGCGAAGAACCUUACCUGGUCUUGACAUCCCGGAGACCCUUAGGAAACUAGGGGGUGCUUCCAUCUGGAAGAAUCUGGAGACAGGUGCUGCAUGGCUGUCGUCAGCUCGUGUCGUGAGAUGUUGGGUUAAGUCCCGCAACGAGCGCAACCCUUGUCCUUAGUUACCAGCACGUUAUGGUGGGCACUCUAAGGAGACUGCCGGUGACAAACCGGAGGAAGGUGGGGAUGACGCCAAGUCAUCAUGGCCCUUACGGCCUGGGCUACACACGUGCUACAAUGGUCGGUACAGAGUGAAGCGAAACCGCGAGGUGAAGCAAAACGCAGAAAGCCGGUCUCAGUUCGGAUUGAAGUCUGCAACUCGACUUCAUGAAGCUGGAAUCGCUAGUAAUCGUGGAUCAGCCAAGCCGCGGUGAAUACGUUCCCGGGCCUU